AAAACAUCGCCUCCUGCAGUAUAAAGUAUAGGAGGUCCAGCCUGCCCAGUGACUACGGGUUCAACGGCCGCGGUAUAUUGACCGUGCAAAGGUAGCGCAAUCACUUGUCUCUUAAAUAGAGACCUGUAUGAAUGGCUAGACGAGGGCUUAACUGUCUCCCCCUUCCAGUCAGUGAAAUUGAUCUAUCCGUGCAGAAGCGGGUAUAAUUCUACAAGACGAGAAGACCCUUUGGAGCUUAAGGUACAAAAUUCACCCAUGUUAAACAACUCCGUAGAAAGCAAGAACUUUGUGGAUAUGAAACUUUACCUUCGGUUGGGGCGACCACGGGGGAAAAACAAGCCUCCGAGUGGACUGGGCCAAAAACCCCUAAAGCUAAAAGAGACAUCUUUAAGCCGCAGAACAUCUGACCAAUAAUGAUCCGGCUAAAAAGCCGAUCAACGGACCAAGUUACCCUAGGGAUAACAGCGCAAUCCUCUCCCAGAGCCCAUAUCGACGAGGGGGUUUACGACCUCGAUGUUGGAUCAGGACAUCCUGGUGGUGCAGCCGCUAUUAAGGGUUCGUUUGUUCAACGAUUAAAGUCCUACGUGAU
rnacentral:rRNA from 1 species